CACAGCAAGAACUCCCAUCUUUGAUUUCUUUCUUCAGUAUCUUAUAGUUUUCAGAGAACAGGUCUUUUGCCUCCUUAGGUAGCUUUAUUUCUAGGUAUUUUAUUCUUUUUGAUGUGAUGGUAAAUGGGAUUGUUUCCUUAAUUUCUUUUUCUGACCUUGGGCUGUUAGUGCAUGGAAAAGAAGCUGAUUUCUGUGUACUACCUUUGUAUCCUGCAGCUUUACUGAAUUCAUUGAUGAGCUCUAGUGGUUUUCUGGUAGCACCCUUAGGAUUUUCUCUAAGUACCAUGUCAUCUGCAAAUAGUGACUGUUUUACUUCUUCUUUUCCAAUUUGGAUUCCUUUUAUUUCUUUUUCUCGUCUGAUUGCUGUGGCUAGGACAUCCAAAAGUGUGUAAGGUAAAAGUGGUGAGCGUGGAUAUCCUUCUUUUGUUCCUGAUCUUAGAGGAAAUGCUUUCAGCUUUUUACCAUUGAGUAUGAUGUUAGCUGUCGGUUUGUCAUAUAUGGCCUUUAUUAUGUUGAGGUAUGUUCCCUCUGUGACCACUUUCUGGAGAGUCUUUGUCAUAAAUGGAUAUUGAAUUUUAUCAAAAGCUUUUUCUGCAUCUAUUGAGAUGAUCAUAUGGUUUUUAUUUUUCAAUAUGUUAAUGUAGUGUAUCACAUUGAUUGAUUUGAAGAUACUGAAACAAUCCUUGAAUUCCUGGGGUAUAUCCCACUUGAUCAUAGUGUAUGAUCCUUUAGAUGUAUUGUUGGAAUCAGUGUGCUAGUAUUUUGUUGAGGAUUUUUGCAUGAUGUUCAUCAGUGAUAUUGGUCUGUAAUUUUUUUUUUUUUUUUUGUCUUUUCUAGGACUGCAUCCACAGCAUAUGGAGGUUCCCAGGCUGGAAGUCUAAUUGGAGCUGUAGCUGCUGGCUUACGCCACGGCCACAGCAACACCAGAUCUGAGCUGUGUCCGUGACCUAUAUACCACAGCUCACGGCAACGCCAGAUCCUUAACCCACUAAGCGAGGCCAGGAAUUGAACCUGCAGCCUCAUGGUUCCUAGUCAGAUUUGUUUCUGCUGUGCCAUGAUGGGAACUUCUGUAAUUUUUUUUUUUAAGGGCCACACAUGUGGCAUAUGGAAGUUCCCAGACUAGGGGUGGAAUUGGAGCUGCAGUUGCUGUCCUACACCAAAGCCACAGCAAUACCAGGUCCAAGCCAUGUCUGCAACCUACACUGAAGGUCAUGGCAGUGCUGGAUCCUUAACCCACUAUUCGAGGCCAGGGAUUGAAUCUGCAUCCUCAUGGAUACUAGUCAGGUUCGUAACCUGCUAGGCUGCAGUGGGAACUCCCACAUGUAUCUUUCUGAAUUAUAGUUUUGCCUGGGUAUAUGCCCAGGAGUAGGAUUGCUAGAUCAUAUGGUAGUUCUGUAUUUAGUUUUUUGGUUGGAGUUCUUUCUUGUUUUUACUUAUUUAUUUAUUUAUUUAUUAUGGCUGCACCUGUGGCUUAUGGAAAUUCCCAGGCCUGGGGUCAAAUUGCAGCUGCAGCUGUGACCUACACCACAGCCAUGGCAACACCGGAUCCAAGCCACAUUUGUGACCUGUGCCGCAGCUUGCAGCAAUACCAGGUCCUUAACCCCGUGAGUUAGGCCAGGGAUUGAACUCACAUCCUCACAGAGACAAUGUUGGGUCUUUAACCAACUGAACCACUAUGGAAACUCCUUUUUCUUGUUUUUAAAUGUAAAUGUUUAUAACUAUACAUUUCCCCUUAACACUCCUUGGAGUGGUUCUUGUACAAGUUUUGGUAUGUUGUGUUAUGUUGUGUUUUCAUUUUCAUUUGCCUUUAAUUAUUGCCUGCCUUCCUUUUUUUUUUUUCUUUUUUGGCUUUUUAGGGCUGUACCUGCAGCAUAAGGAUGUUCCUGGGCUAGGGGUCCAAUUUGAGCUGCAGCUGCCAGCUUACACCUUAGCCACAGUGAUGCAGGAUCCAAGCCAUGUCUGUGACCUAUACCACAGCUCAUGGCAGUGCUGGAUCCUUAACCCACUGAGCAAGGCCAGGGACUGAACCUGAAUCCUCAUGGUUACUAGUCCAGUUCGUUACCACUGAGCCACAAUGGGAACUCCUGCCUCUAGCUAUUUUCUAAUUUUUUGUGAUUUCUUCUUUGAUCCAUUGGUUUAAGACUGUGUUUUUUAAUUUUCACAACUUUGUAAGUUUUUCAGCUUUACUUAAAUUGUUGGUUUCUGACUUCAUCCUUUUGUGGUUGGAGGAAAUAUUUUGUAUGAGGUCGAUCUUUUAUAAACCUAUUGAGACUUAAUGUGUAAUAGGAAUUACAUGGGCACAGUUAAUGAUCUGGCUUGUCUGUGUGGAGGUGCUGUUUUGAUCCCCACCCCUGCACAGUGGGUUAAGAAUCCAGCAUUGCUGCAGCUGUGGCAUAGGUUGCAUUGCAGCUCUCGCUCAGAUUUGAUCCCUGGCCUGGGAACUUCCAUAUGUCAUGGGUACAGCUGAAGAAUAAAAGAAAAGUAACCUAACAUAGGGUCUAUUUUGGAAAAUGUCCCACAUACACCUGAGCAGAGUGUGUAUGAUGUUGAGUAGAGUGUUCUGUAUGUGUGUGUUGGAUCUAGUUUGUUUAUGGUGUUGUUUAAGUACUCUGUUUCCUUUUGUUCUGGCUGGUUGUUCAGUCUAUUAUUGAGGGUGUGGUUUUGAAGUCUCCAACUUUUAUUGUAGGGUUAUCUGUUUCUCAUUCAAUUCUGUCAGUUUUUUGCUCCCUGUGUUUUGGGUACAUCAGUGUUUAUAAUUAUUAUAUUUUCUUGCUGUAGUAAACCUUUAUUAAUGUAUAAUAUCCUUCUUUGUCUCUUAUAAACUUUUUUGAAUUAAAGCCUAUUUUGUCUGAUAUUAACAUAGCUACUCAUUUUCUUUUGGUUACUCAUUGCUCGGAAUGUGUUUUUCCAUCCUUUUACUUUCAGUCUUCAUAUGUCUUUGGAUCUAAAUUGAGGUUCUUGUAGACAGCAUAGAGUGCAUUAUAUGUUUUUAUCCAUUCUGCCAGUCUCUGUCUGUCAACUGGAGAUUUUAAUCUAUUUAUGUUUAAAGUAUAUACUGAUAAGGAUGAAAUACUUCUGUUAUUUUGGUACUUGUUUUCUGUAUGCUUUAGUUUUUUCCCCUUCCUCCCUCCCUCCCACACCUGCAGCAUAUGGAAGUUCUUAGGCCAGGGAUCACCCCUCACCACAGCAGCAAUCCAAGCCACCACAGUGACAACACCGUAUACUUAACCUACUGUGCCACAAAGAACUCCUUGUUUCUCAUUUUCUGCAUUAUUGUCCUUUGUGUUUGAUUUUUCUUUUUGGCUGCACUUGUGGCACGUGGAAGUUCCCAGGCCAGGGAAUGAACCUGUGCCAUAGCGGUGACUCAAGCCACAGCAUUGAAAAUGCCAGAUCCGGAGUUCCCGUCGUGGCGCAGUGGUUAACGAAUCCGACUAGGAACCAUGAGGUUGCGGGUUCGGUCCCUGCCCUUGCUCAGUGGGUGAACGAUCCGGCGUUGCCGUGAGCUGUGGUGUAGGUUGCAGACGCGGCUCGGAUCCCGCGUUGCUGUGGCUCUGGCGUAGGCCGGUGGCUACAGCUCCGAUUCAACCCCUAGCCUGGGAAUCUCCAUAUGCCGCGGGAGCGGCCCAAGAAAUAGCAACAACAACAACAACAAAAAGACAAAAGACAAAAAAAAAAAAAAAAAAAGAAAAUGCCAGAUCCUUAACCCACUAGGCCACCAGGGAUCCCCAGUGUUUUGAUUUUUUUUUAUUGAAGUGUAGUUGAUUUACAAGGUUGUGAUAAUUUCUGCUGUACAACAAAGUGAUUCAUUCAUACAUAUACACAUAUCCAUUCUCUUUCAGAUUCUUUUCUCACACAGAUUAUCACUUGAUCUUUUUAAUAGUGAAAUAUUUAAAUUCCUUUCGCAUUUCCUUUUUUGUGUAGUCUUUUUUUUUUGUCUUUUUUUAGGGCUGCACCCAUGGCAGGUGGAGGUUCCUAGGCCAGGGGUCCAACUGGAGCUGCAGCUUUUGGCCUACGCCAGAGCCACACCAGUUCCAAGGCGCGUCUGCAGCCUACAUCACAGCCCAUGGCAACGUCGGAUCCUCAACCCACUAAGUGAGGCCAGGGUUUGAACCUGGAACCUCAUGGUUCCUAGUUGGAUUCGUUUCCCCUGCGCCACAACGGGAACUCCCUUUUUUGUGUAUUCUGUAAUUAUUUUCUUUGUGGUUAUCAUGGGAAUUACAUUUAGCAUCGUAAAGUUAUAACCCUCUAAUUUGAUUUAUACCAGCUUAACUUCAAUAACGUACAAAAAACCUUCUUCUUUACAGCUCCACCCACCUCUUUCUGUUGAUGUCUCAAAAUUAAAUCUUCAUGUGCCCACAAACAUAAACUAAUCUUUUAAAUACAUUAGUCUCCUAAAUUAUGAAGGAAAUAACAUAUGGAGUUACAAAUAAAAAUUACAAUAAUAAUAAUUUUUAGACUAAUUUAAAAAAGUAUAUUAAUAUCUUAAGUCAUGUAGAAAACAAAAAAAUGGAGUUAUAGACUUGUGGUUUUGGUUAUUUUUAAGAUUUUUAAAUUUUUUGUCUUUUUUUUGGUCUAUCCUCCUCAUGGAUGCUAGUCAGAUUUGUUUCCAUGGAACCAUGAGGGGAACUCCUAAGAUGGUUGUUUUAAAGUCUUUGUCUGUAGGAUCUACCAUCAGGUUUUUCAAGGACAGCUUCAGUUGAUUUAUUUUUUUCUCUGAAUGGGCCAUAUUUUCCUUUUUUUUUUUUUUAAUACUUCUGCUUUGUUGUUGUUAAAAAAUGGACAUUUGGGAGUUCCCUCUUGCCUCAGUGGGUUAAGGAUCCAGUUGUCACUGCUGUGGCUCUGGUUACAGAGGUGGCGUGGGUUUGACUUCUGGCUUGGGAACUUCCACAUGCGGUGUGCACAGACAAAAAAAACAAAAAACCCACAAAACCCGGAUAUUUGGAUCUAAUAGUGUGAUACACCUGGAAGUUGGAUCAUCCUCCUUUCCAGGACUUGCUGUAUUUUUGGUGGUGUAGGUUGUCUCUGUACCAAGGAUCAGUCUGAGAUACAACUUAAGGUUUUCUUAGGUCUCUUCUGAACUUGUACCUUCCUUGGGGUUGUAUGAUCUGUUUUGAAUUUUCCUUUUUUAUAUAGUUGCUUUUGAAUCCUAGACUUUGAUGUCUGGCUCCCAAAAGGGGAAAGGAAAAAUGAAAGAGGGAAGAAAAGGAUGCUAGCCUUUUAAAUCCUCUGGAAGUCACUUCAUCUGGAGAGGGGGGUGUUGCAGCAAUGGGGGCGGUGAAACGGCGGUGGCUGCCAGCCUGUCUCACCUCUGUGAUCAGAGCACAGAUCCUUAGUCUUUGGAGGACAGGAUCUUUUUUGCCCACCCUCCCUCCUGCACGCUGUGUGCAGGCUCAUCCAGAAGCACAUAUAUAGCCUCCAGCAGCAUGGCUGGGGGGUGGGAUGUCUAGCUGCUACGUAUUAAGAGCUGAAGUUGACAGAAAUUAACCACAAUUUACUGUUUUAGUCCUCCUAUGGAAGUUGCAUUUGAGUUCCAGAAUAGUCACACUAGGCAGCUUCUGACAGGUACUGUUUUUCGGGUGAGGAGAUUCCUGGUGCAUCCUACUCUGCCAUAUUCCCAGAAGUUUCCAGGCUGUGUUCCUUUUUGUCCUUGUCUGUUUGCCUUCCUCUCCACUGCAUUCUUCCACUCUCUGUCACUGCCUCCCCAGGGUACAUCCUAAGUGCUUGGCACUUGUGGGAAAGGCUCAGUAAAUUGGCCUGUCUUAAAUUCCCUGUUUGCUCCUGUUCUCUCACUGUCCCAUCAGGGAUGACCGUGGGCUGGGCUGCAGUCUUCAUAUGGGCACCCACGGAGGGCUCCCCAGGAGGGAGAGAGAAAGGGGACUGUACUAGGUUAGACAGUGUCUCCCCCAGAUUCCUUUCUUCCUGGAACCUGUGAUCUUAUUUGGAAGUAGGGUCUUUGCAGGUGUGAGAAAUUAGAACGAGGUCAUACUGGAUUUGGGUGGACCCUAAUCCAGCGACUGGUGUCCUCAGAAGAGGGGCACGUGAAGAUGGAGGCAGAGAUUGGAGUGUUGCAGCCACAGGCCCAGGGCUACUAGCGACCAGCAGAAGCUGGAAGAGACAAGGAAGGCUUCUACCUGAGAGGCCCUGGAAGGCACAUGGAAAGAGGAAUUUAAGGGUUUUUUGUCUUUUUAGGGCUGCACCCUUGGCAUAUGAUGGAGGUCCCCAGGCUAGGGGUCGAAUCAGGAGCUGUAACCACUGGCCUGUGCCACAGCCAUAGCAACGUGGGACCUGAGCCAUGUCUGUGACCUACACCGCAGCUCACGGCAACGCCAGAGUCUUAGCCCACUGAGUGAGGCCAGGGAUCGAACUCAUGUCCUCAUUGGUGCUAGUCAGAUUCGUUUCUGCUGAGCCACGACGAGAACUCCUGUUUUUGUUUUAAAGCAGUUGAGAGUAAUAAUUCAGGGCCCCUUUAAUAACAUGGCCCCAUGUUUCAUUCCGUUGUAGUAAGAAGGUUCUCGAUUCCUGGUGUCCAUUCCUCCUGAUUGGCACACAGGAGGUAAGAAUGAGCACAUCCCUGUGAUGGGAACUCCUGAAGCUGGUUUUUUAUUUAUAGGAUGGACUGGUUCAUCCUACUUCACCUCCCUCAUGGACUGUUUCUGUUGGAGAUUUCUCUGAAAAUGGGAAAGCACAGGAGUUCCGGUUGUGGUGCAGCGGAAACGAAUGUGACCAGGAACUAUGAGGUUGCAGGUUCGAUCUCUGGCCUUGCUCAGUGGGUUAAGGAUCCGGUGUUGCUGUGAGCUGUGGUGUAGGUCACAGACUUGGCUCGGGUCUGUUGUUGCUGUGGCUGUGGUGCUCUAGCUCCGAUUCGACCCCUAGUGUGGGAACCUCCAUAUGCCGUGGGUGUGGCCCUAAAAAGCAAAAAAA
rnacentral:lncRNA from 1 species